UUUUGAAGGAGGGAAAUUAUAAGCUCAUGAAUGUUGGUGCAAAUGAUAUCAUGACUGGUAUCAAUAAUUGUAUUAAUGAUCCUAGUUUCCAAGAUACUUCUUCCCUUCCAAAAUCUGCUGGAGAUGUGUUGCAAGCAGAUCAAAUUAUUCAAAUUUUAUCAACUUUCUUAUUGUCUAAUUAAUUGAUUGAAGAGAAUCAUAUUUUAUGUUUGUAAUCAACCCACUUUUAAAUAAUAAGAAUUGCAAUUUU
rnacentral:lncRNA from 1 species